UGAGGAGGAGAAUAUUCCCCUCAUCAUUAUUUCAGGAUUGCAUAAGUAGAAAAUGGUGACAGCUAUGUACAGAUCAUGCCUCAUCCCCUCUCUAUUUUAUAUGAUCUCCUCUAUCCUGAUAAUUACUCCUCUGCCUCCUGCUGAAGAUUAUAUGAAGCACAUUCUUCUCUAAAGUCACAGGACUCCAGGUGAUGUAGCCUGGUGCACAGGGUAGGCAAAGCAUUCCAAAGCCUUCAGAGAUGCCUUGCACAGUGGCCAUCUGUCUCUGCAGUGAUAUCCAAAUAUACAUCCUCCAUUGCUAAUGUU